rnacentral:rRNA from 1 species
UAAGCAUAUCAAUAAGCGGAGGAAAAGAAACCAACAGGGAUUGCCUCAGUAACGGCGAGUGAAGCGGCAAAAGCUCAAAUUUGAAAUCUAGCACCUUCGGUGUUCGAGUUGUAAUUUGAAGAUGGUAACCUUGGGUUUGGCUCUUGUCUAUGUUCCUUGGAACAGGACGUCAUAGAGGGUGAGAAUCCCGUCUGAUGAGAUGCCCAUUCCUUUGUAAGGUACUAUCGAAGAGUCGAGUUGUUUGGGAAUGCAGCUCUAAGUGGGUGGUAAAUUCCAUCUAAAGCUAAAUAUUGGCGAGAGACCGAUAGCGAACAAGUACAGUGAUGGAAAGAUGAAAAGAACUUUGAAAAGAGAGUGAAAAAGUACGUGAAAUUGUUGAAAGGGAAGGGCAUUAGAUCAGACUUGGUGUUUUACGAUUAUCUUCUCUUCUUGAGUUGUGCACUCGUAUUUCACUGGGCCAGCAUCGAUUCGGAUGGUAAGAUAAUAGCAGUUAAAUGUGGCUCUUCGGAGUGUUAUAGUUUCUGUUGAUAUUGCCUGUCUGGAUCGAGGGCUGCGUCUUUUGACUAGGAUGCUGGCGUAAUGAUCUAAUGCCGCCCGUCU